rnacentral:rRNA from 1 species
GAUGAACGCUGGCGGUAUGCUUUACACAUGCAAGUCGUACGAGAGUUUUUAACUCAAGUGGCGGACGGGUGAGUAACACGUAAGAAUUUGCCUUUAGGAGGGGGAUAACAACUGGAAACGGUUGCUAAUACCCCAUAUGCUUUCGAGUGAAACGGUUUUUCCGCCUAAAGAGAAGCUUGCGGCUGAUUAGCUUGUUGGUGAGGUAAUGGCUCACCAAGGCGACGAUCAGUAUCUGGUUUGAGAGGACGAUCAGACACACUGGAACUGUGACACGGUCCAGACUCCUACGGGAGGCAGCAGUGGGGAAUUUUCCGCAAUGGGCGAAAGCCUGACGGAGCAAUACCGCGUGAGGGAUGACGGCCUAUGGGUUGUAAACCUCUUUUUUCAGGGAGGAAUAAAUGACGUGUACCUGAGGAAUAAGCAUCGGCUAACUCCGUGCCAGCAGCCGCGGUAAGACGGAGGAUGCAAGUGUUAUCCGGAAUCACUGGGCGUAAAGCGUCUGUAGGUGGUCAAAUAAGUCAACUGUUAAAUCUUGAGGCUCAACCUCAAAAUCGCAGUCGAAACUAUUAGACUAGAGUAUAGUAGGGGUAAAGGGAAUUUCCAGUGGAGCGGUGAAAUGCGUAGAGAUUGGAAAGAACACCGAUGGCGAAGGCACUUUACUGGGCUAUUACUAACACUGAGAGACGAAAGCUAGGGUAGCAAAUGGGAUUAGAUACCCCAGUAGUCCUAGCCGUAAACAAUGGAUACUAGAUGUUGAACAGAUCGACCUGUGCAGUAUCAAAGCUAACGCGUUAAGUAUCCCGCCUGGGAAGUAUGCUCGCAAGAGUGAAACUUAAAGGAAUUGAC